GAUCCUGGCUCAGGACGAACGCUGGCGGCGCGCUUAACACAUGCAAGUCGAGCGAUGAAAUCUUGACAGAUCCCUUCGGGGUGAAGAUAAGAUGGAUUAGCGGCGGACGGGUGAGUAACACGUGAGUAACCUGCCUUAGACAUUGGGAUAGCCUCGGGAAACCGGGAUUAAUACCAAAUGAAAUCAUAGGUGCCCAUGCACUAAUGAUCAAAACUCCGGUGGUCUAAGAUGGACUCGCG
rnacentral:rRNA from 1 species